rnacentral:rRNA from 1 species
UUUCUGCCCAGUGCUCUGAAUGUCAAAGUGAAGAAAUUCAAUCAAGCGCGGGUAAACGGCGGGAGUAACUAUGACUCUCUUAAGUAGAGUCUUAGUCUUAGUGGGUUGAGUGUAGUGAGCUCGUUGAGGCGUGUUUCCUUAGCUAUCGUGAUGAGAAGAAAAGUAACGCCAAGAGGCCAGUUAGAAAGAAGGCAGUUAAGAGAGAGCUGAAGAAUAGAGAGAAGCGCAGAAGAGCGUAUGGAGAGAUGCAGAGAAUUUAUAGUAAGGAUAGGAAGAAAGCAGCGGCUGCUGUUUUUAGUGGCGCGUGGAGGUUGUGGAGUGAGCCUAGAGAGGAGAAUAAGCAGUUUGAAGAUCAGAAGAUGGAGUAUUGGAAGAGAGUUUUGGGCAGGGAGUCUGACCCGGAUGGUCGUCCGGUUAAGCCUCUGAGGGAGCCAGCUGUUGAGAUCGAGGAGCCGAUUAGUCUAGCAGAGUGCAAGAAAGCGCUGAGAGACCUUAAGCAGACAGCUUCGGGACCAGAUGGCGUUAGCUGGAGUAGUGUGAAGAGCUUGGGUCCAGGUUGGCUUCAGUACCUUUUUAAUUCCAUCUUGGCGUGCGGGUAUCCUACAAAAUCUUUUAAAAAUUCGCGCACAGUGCUGAUUCCUAAGACAGAAAAACCUAGUGACCCGGGAGAGUUUAGGCCCUUAGCGAUUGCUAGUGUCUUUGGCAGAGUCUUUCAUAGAAUCUUAGCUAGUAGGUUGGGAGUCUGGGCGCCGUUAGGAGCGAGUCAACGAGCCUUUCAGGUUGGGAUCGAUGGUGUCUCUAUGAACCAUCUCAUCUUAGAGGCGGCUCUGGCGGCAGCUAGAAGGGGAGAUAGUGAGCUUUAUUUAGCUUGGUUAGAUCUUAGAAAAGCGUUUGACUCGGUUAACCAUCAAUCUUUGCUUCGUGCAGCUCGGCGUGCAGGACUGCCUGAGUCCAUCUUGGGUUACUUGGGCAACCUGUACGACGGGGCGGUCACCGAGUUGAACGGGGUUGCUAUUAAGAUUAGUAGAGGGGUUAAGCAGGGGGAUCCUCUAUCACCUAUUCUAUUCUGCUAUGUGAUAGAUGAGUUAAUGGACAACCUAGAUAGCGGUAUUGGGUUCCCGUUGGCAGGGCAUAGAGUCAACGCGGCAGCCUUUGCCGACGACUUGGCUAUUCUGUCUAGGUCUAAAGCCGGUUUGCAGGCGCUCUUGGCAAGCUUGGCCGACUCACUUCUUCCCACUGGGCUUGAGGUGAACCCGGCUAAGUGCUCCACGCUUGCUAUUAUUUGGGACGGGAAGAAUAAGCGUUGGCUGCAUGAUGCCAAGGGGCAGUUUAAGUUUAGGGGGUCUACUCUGCCAGCACUUGGAGUUGAGGAGUCGUAUAAGUAUUUAGGACUUCAGUAUGGUUCAAAGGGCAAGUUGAAGACGGGGCUGGAGUUGCUUAAGGGUAUGCUCAGAGAGUUAAAGGAGGCGCGCCGUUGAAACCGCAGCAGAGAGUGUUCCUGCUCAGAACAAAUAUUCUACCUAAGAUUAUGUAUUACUUAGUUAAUGGACGCGUGCACCAGUACACUCUUCGCGAGUGUGACAAGUGUGUUCGACGUUUUCUCAGGGAGGUUCUCCAUCUGCCGCACGACACUCCGGUGUCUGCCUUUCAUGCGUGUGCGAAGGAUGGAGGCCUCGACAUCGACUGUUUUGAGUCGCUUGUCCCAAUGUAUAAAUGGCAGAAGCUGGUGAGCCUCGAAGAGGUUCCGGACAAUUUGGUCCGUGACUUGUCUCAGCUACCUGCCAUUCGCAAGCGGUUUCAACUUAAAGGUGCGCAGACCAGUUUUAAUAACAGAGCGGAGUAUCGGAUGUUCUGGAAGAACAAGUUGCUGGACAAUCUAGAUGGAUUUGGUUUAGGUGAAGCAGCGGACGUUCCUCAAGUCCACUCUUGGGUGACUGAUGGCUCGUCCCUGCUCACAGGCGAAAUGUAUAUUAAGUGCCUUAAAAUUAGGUGGAAUGUUUGGCCGACUGCAGCUCGUGCGUCCAGAGGUAGGAGGCAGGCCCCUCUCUGUGAUGCGGGCUGCAGGCAAAUUGAAGGUUUGGGGCACAUUCUGCAGCAGUGUAAUAGGACUUGGGAUAAGAGAGGGGCUAGGCAUGAUAGAAUUGUUGAGUUUGUUGGUAGUCAGGUGGAACGGCGAGGGUUCAAUGUUAUUAAGGAGAAGUCUUUUGCGACUCCUAGGGGGCAUAGACGACCUGAUCUAAUUAUAUAUAAUAAGGAUAGAGUGUGGAUUGCUGACGUCACGAUCUGUGCGGACAGAGGAGCGGGGCCUAUGGCCCUCGCGAGGGACAACAAGAUCAAGUAUUAUACGGACGAGGAUCUAGCGACUGAGGUCGCGAAGGUGGCGGGCCCUGGUGCCCAGAGCGUUGUUGGCUGGUUUGGAACUGGAGAGGGUGUUGCGAGAAGAAGACGGAUGAGUGGCUCAAGAAGAUGGGUGUGCCGAUCGAGUCUAGAAGGCUGGCUU